AAGGAAGCCAGCUUCUUCUUGUAGCUAACCUGACCAAAGAUCAACUAGGACAAUCUGUUCACCUUGCACAUUUGGAGCUCAGGAUAACGCACGCAGGUAGUGGAGUACCUGAAGCAUUGCUGAACCAAAUGUUCGGAAGCGAUGAAGAUGCAUCGGAGGAUGGUAUUAGUUUGCUAAUCAGCCGAAAGUUGGUAAAACUCAUGAAUGGAGAUAUCCAGUAUUUAAGGGAAGCUGGCAGGUCAACAUUCAUCAUGACGGUUGAACUCGUGGCAGC